rnacentral:rRNA from 1 species
UACGUAGGGCGCAAGCGUUGUCCGGAAUUAUUGGGCGUAAAGAGCUCGUAGGUGGCGUGUCGCGUCUGCCGUGAAAGCCCAUGGCUUAACUGUGGGUCUGCGGUGGAUACGGGCAGGCUAGAGGCUGGUAGGGGCAAGCGGAAUUCCUGGUGUAGCGGUGAAAUGCGCAGAUAUCAGGAGGAACACCGGUGGCGAAGGCGGCAUCCUGGACCAAUUCUGACGCUGAGUGAGCGAAAGCCAGGGGAGCAAACGGG